ensembl:lncRNA
CCCUUCCAGGACCUUGAAACAAGCCCCGGACAAGGUGGGGCACCUGACACCCCCAAACUUGUCAGGGGAACUGGGGAAAAGGCUCGGCGGCCGGCAGCCGCCCUGCUCGGCUCAAAAGCACCCGGCGAGGACGCGCGCCCGCGGGCCCCGCGUGAAUCAUCGGGGCCCGCUCAGCGGGGCGAUGAUUCAUCCCCCGCCGCACGUUCCGGCCGUCCUCUGACGGCCGCACACGCAGCUUCCUUAAUAUUGAACAAAUGUUUCAAAGUACAAACGCCUGCAGCCAGAAACGUGGGGACCCAGGCGCGGCGGCGGAGAGGAAACUGCACGUUGCGGCCGUUGCCAGUGUUCCCGGGGCGGGGAGGGCUCGGCGGGCACGGCUGUCCCUCACCCCCAGGCCCCGCCGGCACGCGCGCGGGCGGCGCCCGCAGAGGCGCGGAGGGCGCACAGGUGGGUCCGCGCCCGGCCCCACCGCCCGCCCCUCGCCGAGGCCACCGCACCCUCGCCCGCGCGCCGCUCGCUCGCCCCUCUCCUCUCAGUGACAUCUUAUAUAAUAACCCGAUCAAAUCAAAACGGAAGCGACGCGCGCUGCCGGGCCUGGCCCCCCGGCCCACAGCAGAUGCUCGCGCCCCGAGCCCACGGGCCCUCGAACUAGGCGCCGGGGCGCGCGGCUCCCGGCUGAGGAAGGGCCCGCGCGCCGGCUCAGCUCGUCCCUCCUGGGCGAGGGCGCUGCUGUGGCCGGUCCCCGUCAGGAAGCCGCGAGCGUCACUAACUGCGUCAGCUCCUUCAAACACAUUUCAUGGUCUCCCUCCAGCUCCGGAGCCGCCGCUCGCGCCGCGGGGGCCGCAGCCAGGGGCUGCAAGGCGCCCCUCCGGGGAGGAGAAAGUUCCUCGGGGCCCUCCCCUCGCCCGCACGGCGCCCGGCCCCGCCGCGCCUCCAGCCUUCUCCGCGCGCAGCCCGCACCAAUGUCAGGUUGGGCAACUUGUGACCCGGGGCGCCGGGCGGCCCCAUCCCGCCCGCCAGGCUCUCCCGGCGCCGGGGGGCCUCCCCGCCGCCGCCAACCCCGGCCCGGUGGAAAACGGCCACGCCAGAAACUUCCCCGGCCCGCGUCGGGCGAGGAAGCUGCCUGCGUCCCCGCGCAUCGCCCUUACCUUGCUCUCGAGAGGCCACGAUCCGGGCGGGCGGGCGGCGCGGGGCGCGUGGUGCGCGGGCGCGCGCGCGCGUGGGGCGGUAGGUGAGGCGCCCGCCCAACGGGGGCCGGCCCGGGGCGGGGUGCGGGCGGCGGGCUUGGCCCGCCCCGGGGGGCGGGCGGGCGCGAGGAGAGCAAGCCCUCGGCGGCGGCGGCGGCGGCGGCGGCGGCGGCGGGCGCGGGGCGAGCGCGCCGAGGGGGCGGAGGAGUUGCCGUGGGUUUGUUUACGCAUUGCUGCCCGGCUCGGGGCACAGCCCGCACUCCCUGAUUGGACACAAACUGGGGCACAGCCUCUCGCCGCCCGCCAGGCCUCCUCACGCCGCUGCCGCGCAGCUCCGGGAGAGCCCUGCCGGGCACGGCCCACAGCGGUGCCCGGGCCUGGAGGGGGCGAGCCGCGGCGGCUGCGCAGCACGAGCGAGGAGCCCACGUCUGCCCCGCGGAUCGCUGUCGCCCACCUGUAG